rnacentral:rRNA from 1 species
UUUAUUAGGCAAAAUAUAAUCACGUUGAAAGCAUUGGUUUUUCGUUCGACCAUCGAAGUUAAGCAACGUCGAGCCAAGUCAGUACUUUGAUGGUUGACUGCUUGGAAGCUAAAUGCUGAAAGUC